GCUUGUCUCAAAGAUUAAGCCAUGCAUGUCUUAGUGUAAAUAACUCUUAUGAAACUGCGAAUGGCUCAUUAAAUCAGUUAUCGUUUAUUUGAUGGUCCCUUACUACAUGGAUAACCGUAGUAAUUCUAGAGCUAAUACAUGCGACAACCCCUGACUGCUUGCAGAAAGGGCGUAUUUAUUAGAUACAACCAACCCUUCGGGUCCCUGGUGAAUCAUAAUAACUUAGCGAACCGCAUGCUUCGGCGGCGGUGAUUCAUUCAAGUUUCUGCCCUAUCAGCUUUCGAUGGUAGGGUAUUGGCCUACCAUGGCGGUGACGGGUGACGGAGAAUUAGGGUUCGAUUCCGGAGAGGGAGCCUGAGAGAUGGCUACCACAUCCAAGGAAGGCAGCAGG
rnacentral:rRNA from 1 species